GUGUCCUUGGACAAGACACUGACCCUCAUGCAUUGAUAGGCGUCAUGAGGCAACAGAAUUCCACAAUGAUAUGGUUGAGGAAAAUGGAGACCUGUCCACAGAGGAGCCCAGCAUCAUAAUGAACAGCCAUCUGGAAUCUUUGGCUUUGGUACCAAACUAAUACUGCCCUAGAAUUUGCGAAGUGUGGCCUUGGAGAAAGAGGUGGGUAUCCUGCAAAGAUGUUUCACCCAGGCACCAACUACAUGAAACAUCCUGCUGCACAGCAGAAAGCAUUUCAAGACU
rnacentral:lncRNA from 1 species